rnacentral:rRNA from 1 species
UAUUGGGCAAUGGGCGCAAGCCUGACCCAGCAACGCCGCGUGAAGGAAGAAGGCUUUCGGGUUGUAAACUUCUUUUAAGAGGGAAGAGNNGAAGACGGUACCUCUUGAAGAAGCCCCGGCUAACUACGUGCCAGCAGCCGCGGUAAUACGUAGGGGGCAAGCGUUAUCCGGAAUUACUGGGUGUAAAGGGAGAGUAGGCGGCAAGGUAAGCGAUAUGUGAAAGCCUUAGGCUUAACCUGAGGAUUGCAUAACGAACUAUCUAGCUAGAGUACAGGAGAGGAAAGCGGAAUUCCUAGUGUAGCGGUGAAAUGCGUAGAUAUUAGGAAGAACACCAGUGGCGAAGGCGGCUUUCUGGACUGAAACUGACGCUGAGGCUCGAAAGCGUGGGGAGCGAACA